rnacentral:rRNA from 1 species
AACGAACGCUGGCGGCAGGCCUAACACAUGCAAGUCGAGCGCCCCGCAAGGGGAGCGGCGGACGGGUGAGUAACGCGUGGGAACGUACCCUUUGCUACGGAAUAGCCUCGGGAAACUGGGAGUAAUACCGUAUGUGCCCUUCGGGGGAAAGAUUUAUCGGCAAAGGAUCGGCCCGCGUUGGAUUAGGUAGUUGGUGGGGUAAUGGCCUACCAAGCCGACGAUCCAUAGCUGGUUUGAGAGGAUGAUCAGCCACACUGGGACUGAGACACGGCCCAGACUCCUACGGGAGGCAGCAGUGGGGAAUCUUAGACAAUGGGCGCAAGCCUGAUCUAGCCAUGCCGCGUGAGCGAUGAAGGCCUUAGGGUUGUAAAGCUCUUUCAGUGGGGAAGAUAAUGACUGUACCCACAGAAGAAGCCCCGGCUAACUCCGUGCCAGCAGCCGCGGU